UACGAAGGGGGCUAGCGUUGUUCGGAUUUACUGGGCGUAAAGCGCACGUAGGCGGUUUGUUAAGUGAGAGGUGAAAUCCCAGAGCUCAACUCUGGAACUGCCUUUCAUACUGGCAAGCUAGAGUCCGGAAGAGGUAAGUGGAACUCCUAGUGUAGAGGUGGAAUUCGUAGAUAUUCGCAAGAACACCAGUGGCGAAGGCGGCUCACUGGCCCGAUACUGACGCUGAGGCACGAAAGCGUGGGGGAGCAAAGCAGGAUU
rnacentral:rRNA from 1 species